rnacentral:rRNA from 1 species
AGGGCACCACCAGGAGUGGAGCCUGCGGCUUAAUUUGACUCAACACGGGAAAUCUCACCAGGCCCGGACACCGGAAGGAUUGACAGAUUGAGAGCUCUUUCUUGAUUCGGUGGGUGGUGGUGCAUGGCCGUUCUUAGUUGGUGGAGCGAUUUGUCUGGUUAAUUCCAAUAACGAACGAGACUCUGGCCUACUAAAUAGACGUUAGAUCCCUUUGUGGGUCUAUCGCACCUUCUUAGAGGGACGGGCGGCGUUCAGCCGCACGAGAUUGAGCAAUAACAGGUCUGUGAUGCCCUUAGAUGUUCUGGGCUGCACGCGCGCUACACUGAAGGAAUCAGCGUGUGUUCCCUGCCCGAAAGGACUGGGAAACCCGUUGAACCUCCUUCGUGAUUGGGAUAGGGGAUUGCAAUUAUUCCCCAUGAACGAGGAAUUCCCAGUAGGCGCGAGUCAUAAGCUUGCGUCGAUUACGUCCCUGCCCUUUGUACACACCGCCCGUCGCUACUACCGAUCGAGUGAUUUAGU